rnacentral:rRNA from 1 species
GGGAUAUUGCACAAUAGGCGCAAGCCUGAUGCAGCGACGCCGCGUGGGUGAUGCCGGUCUUCGGAUUGUAAAACCCUUUUCUAGAUGACGAGCAAGGACGGUAGUCUAGGAAUAAGUGUCGGCUAACUACGUGCCAGCAGCCGCGGUAAAACGUAGGACACGAGCGUUAUCCGGAGUUACUGGGCGUAAAGGGCGUGCAGGCGGUUGGGUAAGACUGAUGUGAAAGCGCCCGGCUUAACCGGGCGAGGACAUUGGUGACUGCCUAACUAGAGGCAGAUAGAGGGGUGUAGAAUUCCGGGUGUAGUGGUGAAAUGCGUAGAGAUCCGGAGGAAUACCAGAGGCGAAGGCGGCACCCUGGGUCUGACCUGACGCUGAGACGCGACAGCAUGGGGAGCGAAC